rnacentral:rRNA from 1 species
GACGAACGCUGGCGGCGUGCUUAACACAUGCAAGUCGAACGGUGAUGCUCCAGCUUGCUGGAGUGGAUCAGUGGCGAACGGGUGAGUAACACGUGAGCAACCUGCCCCAGACUCUGGAAUAAGCGCUGGAAACGGCGUCUAAUACUGGAUACGAAACUGGCCCGCAUGGGCAUGGUUUGGAAAGUUUUUCGGUUUGGGAUGGGCUCGCGGCCUAUCAGCUUGUUGGUGAGGUAAUGGCUCACCAAGGCGACGACGGGUAGCCGGCCUGAGAGGGCGACCGGCCACACUGGGGCUGAGACACGGCCCAGACUCCUACGGGAGGCAGCAGUGGGGAAUAUUGCACAAUGGGCGAAAGCCUGAUGCAGCGACGCCGCGUGAGGGAUGACGGCCUUCGGGUUGUAAACCUCUUUCAGCAGGGAAGAAGCGAAAGUGACGGUACCUGCAGAAGAAGCACCGGCUAACUACGUG